UACGUAGGGGGCAAGCGUUGUCCGGAAUCAUUGGGCGUAAAGAGCGUGUAGGCGGCUCGGUAAGUCCGCUGUGAAAGUCCAGGGCUCAACCCUGGAAAGCCGGUGGAAACUGUCGAGCUCGAGUCCGGAAGAGGCGAGUGGAAUUCCUGGUGUAGCGGUGAAAUGCGCAGAUAUCAGGAGGAACACCCGUGGCGAAGGCGAGUUGCUGGGCUGACACUGACGCUGAUGCGCGAAAGCCAGGGGAGCGAACGGG
rnacentral:rRNA from 1 species